GCCGGGUGUGGUGGCGGGCGCCUGUAGUCCCAGCUACUGGGGAGGCUGAGGCAGGAGAAUUGCUUGAACCCGGGAGGAGGGGGUUGCAGUGAGCCAAGAUCAUGCCACUGCACUCCAGCCUGGGUGACAGAGUGAGACUCUGUCUCAA
ensembl:misc_RNA Metazoa_SRP Metazoan signal recognition particle RNA